GUCACCGUAGCUUAACACAAAGCAUGGCACUGAAGAUGCCAAGAUGGACAUUAACCCGCCCGAGCGACA
rnacentral:tRNA from 1 species